rnacentral:rRNA from 1 species
AAUCAACGCUGGCGGCGCGCUUAACACAUGCAAGUCGAACGAGAAAGGGAGCAAUCCCAAGUAAAGUGGCGCACUGGUGAGUAACACGUGGAUAUCUACCUCCUGGUGGGGAAUAACCUGGGGAAACCUGGGCUAAUACCGCAUAAGCUUUAGCGAGGAAAGCCGAAAGGCGCCGGGAGAGGAGUCCGCGGUCGAUUAGCUAGUUGGCAGGGUAAAGGCCUACCAAGGCAAAGAUCGAUAGCCGGCCUGAGAGGGCACACGGCCACACUGGCACUGAAACACGGGCCAGACUCCUACGGGAGGCAGCAGUGGGGAAUCUUGCACAAUGGGGGAAACCCUGAUGCAGCGACGCCGCGUGAGCGAUGAAGCCCUUCGGGUGU